CCUACGGGGGGCAGCAGUGAGGAAUAUUGGUCAAUGGACGAGAGUCUGAACCAGCCAAGUAGCGUGAAGGAUGACUGCCCUAUGGGUUGUAAACUUCUUUUAUAUAGGAAUAAAAUGAUCCACGUGUGGCUUUUUGUAUGUACCUUAUGAAUAAGGAUCGGCUAACUCCGUGCCAGCAGCCGCGGUAAUACGGAGGAUCCGAGCGUUAUCCGGAUUUAUUGGGUUUAAAGGGAGCGUAGGUGGAUUGUUAAGUCAGUUGUGAAAGUUUGCGGCUCAACCGUAAAAUUGCAGUUGAAACUGGCAGUCUUGAGUACAGUAGAGGUGGGCGGAAUUCGUGGUGUAGCGGUGAAAUGCUUAGAUAUCACGAAGAACUCCGAUUGCGAAGGCAGCUCACUGGACUGGAACUGACACUGAGGCUCGAAAGUGUGGGUAUCAAACAGGAUUAGAUACCCUUGUAGUC
rnacentral:rRNA from 1 species